rnacentral:rRNA from 1 species
UGGCCGCAGUCGUAUGAUACAGUCUAGACUGUAAUACUACUACAUAGGAUAGUUACUACGGAUGGUAACCUGAAGGUACCUAUGCCGAAUAAGUGUCGGCCUAAUUUCGUGCCAGCAGCCCCGGUAAUACAGAAAGACACAAGCGUUAUCCGGAUUUAUUGGGUUUAGGGUGUGUAGGUUGUUUAUUAAGUCAGUAGUGAAAGCUUACAGCUUAACUGUAAAAUUGCUAUUGAUACUGAUAAUCUUGAGUAAGAUUGGAGCAUCUGGAAUGUAUGGUGUAGCCGGUGAAAUGCAUAGAUAUCAUACAGAACACCAAUAGCGAAGGNAGGAUGCUAAAUCUUCACUGACGCUGAGNCACGAAAGCGUGGUAGACAGGAUUAGAUACCCUGGUAGUCUACGCCCUAAACGAUGAUCACAUUCAGUGGCCAAGNUAAAGCGAU